rnacentral:rRNA from 1 species
UACGUAGUUAGCCGGGGCUUCUUGGUCAGGUACCGUCAUUUCUUUCUUCCCUGCUGACAGAGCUUUACAUACCGAAAUACUUCUUCACUCACGCGGCGUCGCUGGAUCAGGGUUCCCCCCAUUGUCCAAUAUCCCCCACUGCUGCCUCCCGUAGGAGUUUGGGCCGUGUCUCAGUCCCAAUGUGGCCGUCCACCCUCUCAGGCCGGCUACUGAUCGUCGCCUUGGUGGGCCGUUACCCCGCCAACAAGCUAAUCAGACGCGGGUCCAUCUUACACCACCGGAGUUUUUCACACAAAUCCAUGCGGCUUCGUGCGCUUAUGCGGUAUUAGCACCUAUUUCUAAGUGUUAUCCCCCAGUGUAAGGCAGGUUACCCACGCGUUACUCACCCGUCCGCCACUAAGAUUACACAUGAUUUGACCGAAAUCGCCUCUGCGUAUAAUCUCCGUUCGACUUGCAUGUGUUAAGCACGCCGCCAGCGUUCAUCCUGAGCCAGGAUCAAACUC